AUGAACAGCUUGGAUGUGCCAGAUGAUGAACUUUCUGACUCUGAGCAAGUGCUUAUUAACAACAUUUCUGCAGUGUCCUUGUUUCGUGAUGUGUUGUUUACAAGGUUAUUCAAAACAACUCGUAACACCUCUAUAUUAACUGGUGCUCAGAAAACAUUAGAGUUCUUAGAGGGACAUCCAGUUAGAUUUUAUGAACUAAUUCGUCUUGAGAAGCACACAUUCUUCUUGUUGCGGGAUGCUUUGUGCGAGAGAAAGUUACUUAAGGAUACAAAUCGAAUGACAGUGGGCGAACAACUACUCAUGUUUUUACAUACAAUUGGUCACAAUGUUAGAAACCGUGUCAUGCAAGAUAGAUAUCAGCAUUCUGGCGAACCAAUCAGCCGACACUUCAACAACGUUUUAGACGCCAUAAAUGGUUUGCGUGAUGUUUGCAUAACAGAUCCAAGCAAUCAAGUCCCAUCCAAAAUAUUGGGUGACGCAAGGUUCUACCCAUAUUUCAAGAACUGUCUAGGAGCAAUUGACGGGAUACACAUUGAGGCGAAAAUCAGGCUUGAUAAGAAAACUCCUUACAGAAAUAGGCAUGGUUAUCCGUCUCAAAAUGUAAUGGCAGCAGUGUCAUUUGACAUGACAUUCUCUUAUGUCGCUGCUGGAUGGGAGGGUUCUGCAUCGGAUCAAGCUGUUCUAAGAUGGGCUGUUACUAGUGGGGGUUUGGUUGUUCCUGAAGGCAAAUUUUAUCUUGUUGAUUCAGGCUAUGCAAAUACUCCAAAAUUUAUUGCCCCAUAUCGCGGAGAUCGCUAUCAUAUUGCUUCUUUUCGUGGAUGUAAUCGGAGAUAUACUGGUGAGAAGGAUUUGUUCAACCAUGUGCAUGCACAGCUGCGGAACGUUGUGGAACGAACCUUUGGUGUUCUGAAAGCUCGUUUUCCAAUUCUAAGUAGGAUAGGAGGAAUUCCUUAUCCAUAUAGAACCCAAGUUAAAAUUGUUAUGGCUUGUUGCAUCAUCCACAACUUCAUAAGGAAGGUUAAUGAGCCUGAUGAGUUGUUUGAGCUUUAUGAGCAUGGGGAAACACAAGAAAAUGUUGACCAUGGUGAUCAACAAGUUCGUGGGCAAGCAAGAGAAGAUGACCGAGUUGCUGGUGAGAGAGUUCGUGCUGGCAUCGCUCAACAAUUGUGGACUAAUCAUCAACGACGUGUGAACCGACAACAACAAGAUGAUUAA
rnacentral:rRNA from 1 species